ACAGUCCCAUAUGAUUGCCUUGAGAAGUCAAUGUCCUUAGGAACAUAGAAUCUGGAUGCAGUAUUAUUAUGUUAUUAACUAUGACAAGGUCGCAAAGAUGUUAGAAAGAUUCCUGAAUGAAAGUCCUGGUGCAAGGUCAGGACGAUGCAAGGAUUUUGAUGAUUCUGUGAAAGGUUAUCCAGUCGUUAGUCACGUAUAUUAGUUUGAAAAUGUACAGCUUUCGCGCCCUUUCUUUCAUAGAUGUUUCUGCACCUUUUUUAAUUUAGUUACUAGACUUGCCGUCUUUUCAUUAGUGGCCAGCCAUUGUGUCCUUGUAUCUACCUACGUCAAUCGCAUAUACAUUACCUGGACAGUAAAUUUUUCUCUUUUUUUAUGUCGCCAUUAAUCAGCUAGGAGAGUGUCUCUAUGGAAACAGGAUUCAUUAUGCUAGACGGUGAAAACAAAUUUCGCGGUGAAGCUAUGAGUGUAACCUUGAGUAAGUAAUGGUACUUGCUGGUGUGAUAGAAUGAAAGUGAAACGGCACGGUUGGAAUGAUUCUUCAUAAAAAUGACGAUUAGACGGUCAUCCUCGUGUCUUGGGAGAAGUGGAAGAGGAUAAUAGUUCGUCCUUCGUGCAGGAUCAAUCGAGGCUUCACAAUGAAUCCAGUCUUUGUAUGUAGUACGGAAUUUGAAUCGGACGCAAAUCCAGUCGCAGGAAUGCGCUUCUUUUAGAAAGUCUUGGCAGUUCAAGAUGCAAAAAACUGGUCGGCCACUUCGUGCAAGGACAUUUUUAUUGAAGUGCCAAUGAAGGCACAGCAGUCUUCCACUUUUGUCACCCUCUUGACAUGGUGAAUGGCCAUUUCGAUGGAUCAGGGAAAUCGCAAGAAAAGCAGACACCGCCUACUGCGAGACAAAUUGAAUUAAUGACAAUACCGAAUUCAGUCAGCAAGGCGACGAGAGGCUUGACAUUCAAGAUUUCAAGAAUUCGGAAGAAAAAAGAAGUCGGACAAAUGUCAAGCUUGUCAGUCAUUAUCAUGGCACGUGUUAAAUCCUGAUUUUUGGCCGCAUCUUUAUUUAGGCGUUACCAAAUUUAGUAAACGAAGGACCAGAUAGAACCAGAAUCGGAAAGUCGUUCUGCAGGUGACCGCAGAUUGCGCAGGUCUGUCCGAAUAAGUAGAGUAGCAAGUAAGAGCAUUUCACUGUGCAGUAAGAGGACAGUACAAAAAUUAGCUUCGGGCGAGCUCGGGUGUUUACGGGUAUUAAAUAAUUAUUAUUUCGAAAGCAAGAGUGUUUAACCUAUACAUCUAUAGAAGGAUCGACGAGAUUGUGGCCCAGAUCCGACGUCCUUCCCCACGGCAAUGCUACGCCACUUCCUGUACAGACGUCGCGACGUGAUCGUAUACAUAAAGGAAUGUGCAGGCGCACGAAGAAAGUGGACUCGAAUGAACGGAUGAGAAAGUAGACACAGGUUAGGGUAUCCCAAACUCUCAGGUAUUAUACGUGUGGUGUGUGUCUGUAUAUAUACAUAUAAUUUUUCGUAUUGUACAAAACAAAAUAUUCGAUCACUCUUGCUGUUAGUUUGUUUUGAUCGAUACUCGAUCGACACGAUGUAAAAGUAAUCGAUGGACCAAUCAUAAUUCUGCAAGUUGCAGUUACAUAUGAAAGUCUAUCAUUGUCAAUCGAUUGACAAGCUGAGCUUUGACACGCGAGUGUACGGAUAAAGUGGCCACCAUGCGUAUGAACGUGUCUAUCCAAUUUACCUGCUUUCAAGAAAUUCUAGAUUGCAUCGACGCUAAUGCGGAAUUGAUCAGUAACUUUCUGUAUUACUGAAAUCAUAGUAUUUAUGAUGUUAAUGUCUAACAUUAAGUAUGCGGUACCCUGUGAUUCAUACACCGUUACUAAUUCUAUAGGAAGUGGACGAACAUAUACAAAGCAAACUCAUCCUGAAGAGACUGCGGAGAGAUUUGAAUAAUUACAGAGGAAUUGCUGAGAGUCUACUGGAGUGGGGACUUGAUUUAGCUGUAAUAGCCAUACCUUUUGGUCCAUCACGCGAAAGUGCAUUAGAACCUGGACCUAUCCUCGUGUAAUGUAUGCACGCUGCACGGACACAUUGAAGAACAUACGUGGAGCAAGCGCAUGCGGAAACGAGAACCCAGUCAAGAUCUCACAUUGAAUGGAAUUAAACUUCCUUAGUCAAGGAUAGAAGAUGCAGAUGCUGCGAAAGCUAAGAUUUCUACGGUUUUGCAGCUACGCCGAGGUUAACCACGUGGAAUUCAAUGGCUGGACGUCUUCCGUGUGGAAGUGAAUUUUCCUUUCGAAGCAACGAUACCAUCUUGGACACGCGUCGAGCAGAUGGUUUAAUGAAGAAAGUGCGAGGAUUAAUCAGCUCGGAAGAAUCAAACCGCGACGGAUUCACGAAAUUGUUUUUUUUUUUUCAUUUUCUAUAACAACAAUGUAGUUGGAAUCUACGUACCGUACUGAAUUAAUGACUCAUCAAUUGUAUAAGUCAACGAGGACGGUGCUCCAGGGAACGCUGCCCCAGGUACCUUGUUAAUUAUCCAAUAAUUUAUUGUAAAUUAAUAUCUGAAUUUCCACGUAUGAUUAAUAGUGACACAGUCGCUAAUAGGACUUGGGUAAUAUCUAUUGGGAUAGACUUUACCUAUCUGGGACUCUGUUGAAUCCAUGUGUCGUCAUUCCUUAAGAACGUUUUUAUGUCAAAACUAUGGAAUUUACUGGCAAAUGAAAAUGUCAUGUAAUUUAAGAAUUUUCUCUUAGCGUUAAGAGCCGUGACUUGGUGUCUGGAUGUUUCAGACUGAUAUUUUUUUUCUUUGCCAACUACCAACUAUAAGUCUUCGUGAAAUGUCUUCAUGGGCGACAAAAAAGCUUUUAUGAGAAUUUUAAUACUAAAGUGAUUAUAUUCUUGGUCGUUUAUCGAUGAGAACUUUGUAAGCUGAUGACAAUAUUAUGCGUCCUUCAUUAUAUUGAGAUAAAAUUAGAUAAUUUGUGAGAGAUAAAAUUAGAAUUUAUAUCAAGGCAUUUAUAAUAACUAGAUACUACCUAACCUAACCCUAUUCAAUAUACGUAACACUUACGUAACGCAUGCGAUUCACUAUACGUAUUACCAGUUGCUUGUUUUCCGUAACGUCGUUUCCGUCAUUGCGAUUUGGCAUGAGUAAAGCGAGAGAUACGUUAUCGCGGAGAGAAUUUAAAUGAUGCUUUCUGUUUUCCUCUUCCAUGUAAACGUGAAGUGAUUCACUUACGAUUAACCGUUUUAUUGUCUGUGACGCAUAUGUAUAUGUGCGAAAAUAAAUCGCGCGACUUCCUUAAUGACGCAUAUAUGUAUAUGUAUAUACGGAUUUUGAAAAAAGUUUGUACUAUUACGAUUUGUUUCUGCUUUGGUAUCUUAAUGCAUUGUAGGAAUGUCAACACCGUAUGAGUUUUAUUACAAUGCUAUUAAGUCACGUGUUUCUAUCACAUAAUUGAAGUAACAAAGUGAAUGGUCACUGAAAACAUUAGAAACAUUCGCCAGUCGCAUAGUAGGGAAAAAAUAGUACUGAGUAAACAGUAGAAAAAGACAGAAAAAUCCAUAAUGAAAUUUUUAUUUAAUUCAAAUGAUCUAAUCAUCUGUUCCGUUUCGUAACUCCCAUACAGACAUAUAAAUGUAAUUUAUAAAUUGAUUUUUCUUAGAAACACAAAAAUAAAUAUAAAUUUAAAAGGAAAGUAUAUUCUUAAAUGUAGAAUGAAAUUCAUUUAGAAAGAAGUUGAGUCAUUUAGGAAUUUCGUAAGCUUUCUACCGUGAUAAUCAUAGACGUGACACCAAAAGAUUACCAUGAGGAAAGAAGAUUUCCUCCUCAUUUGCACGCUUACAAUCAGUUACAUAUUUAGUUCAACUCAAAAAUCAAAGUAAAUUUUCCUUUAAAAUAUAUAUUUUGCAUUUAAUUUGUUUUUAUGAAAUCUGUGGUUGAAUGUAUGUAAAAUGAUGUAUGUAGAAUGUAUGUAGUAUGAAUGUAUGAAGAUAAUUCGAAGUUAUUUUAUAUUUUGAGAUGUAAUCAACGAAAUUUUGUAUUGGCUAUACCAUUGGUUGCUUGUACUUGACACAAGUCUCAACUACGUGUUGUAAUCAGUGCAAUCUGUUAUCUAAAAAAGUAGUUGGAGGUACGAAGACGACGACAAUGACUGAACUGAAUUAAAAUCAUC